rnacentral:rRNA from 1 species
AUUGAACGCUGGCGGCAGGCCUAACACAUGCAAGUCGAGCGAGCGGCGGACGGGUGAGUAAUGUAUGGGGACUGCCCGAUAGAGGGGGAUAACUACUGGAAACGGUAGCUAAUACCGCAUACUAUCGGAUAACCAAUAUGGGAUUAGCUAGUAGGUGAGGUAAUGGCUCACCUAGGCGACGAUCCCUAGCUGGUCUGAGAGGAUGAUCAGCCACACUGUGACUCGGACACGGCCCCUACUCCGGCGGAGGCCGCGUUGGGGAUUAUUGCCCACUGGGCGCAAGCCUGAUACAGCCAUGCCACGUGUAUGACGAAGGCCCUAGAGUUGUAUCGUACUUUCUGUCGGGAGGCGUUGCCGACAGAAGAAGCACCGGCUAAGUCCGUGCCAGCAGCCGCGGUAAUUC